GGCCGUGUGGCUGGAGGGGUACGUGGCCCACAGCCACCCUGGCUCUCGAGGGUGUUCCUGUCUGUGACUCUCAGGUCCCCAGGGCCUCGGGUCUUCAGGAAGGGACCUACGGUCAUGUCGAGAAGGGAGGGUCCCUCCGUUAAUGAGGACCCCUGCCCCUGGGGUCCCCCGCUGGCGAGCCCUCCCUGAUGCAAGCUCUCAUCUCGGACAGGCCCGGACUUGGCGGUCGUGUCCGUCCGUGGCCAUGCCGGGGCGUGGCUGCGAGCGGUGGCCUCCCGCUGGCCGGGCCAGCCACUACCCCCCCCAGCAUGUUACUCGGCUCACCCUGUGCUCCUUGCAGGGCUCCCUGGGGGGACCGGGUCUCAUGGGCACCGGGGCCGCUGACCGUGGAGCCCAGAGCUUCGGGGACAGGAGCACAGAGUCCCCACACAGUCACGGCAGCGAUCACCGCUGCGCCCAUCCCCGUCCGCGGGCACCGCACCACCCGCGUCCCGUUGCGUUUGGCUGGCUGCGCACCAGAGCCCGGGGCCUGCGUUGUCCCCAGGGUGCCCGCGCUCUGCAGGGGCCGCCCCGGGGAGUUAGGCGGUGCUGACGCGCGAGGCGAGGCCGUGGCCUGCACCCUCAGGGCGGUGAGAGUGUAUCACCUGUGCCACACCACCCCGGGAAGGUAGUCUGCUGUUUACCAUCUUGGCCGGGUGGGGGCAGUUCCUGAAGUUUCUGCUGGACUGUCCCCACCAACAGAGCCCCGCCCCUGGGCGGGGUGCAUCAACCGCACUUACUCAUUUGGGGACCGGAGUCCUGAGCACUGUGGUCCGGGGACCGGCUCAGCUUACCCAGGACCCGGUUUAUGAUCCGGGCCCAUGCGCCCCAGCUCUGCAGGCACCCGCGCCGGUGCAGACGGCGUCUCCCCGGGGGACGGCUGUGGAGUGAAGCCGUGGGCCUCUCGCGGGCCCCGCGGCUGACUCGGAAAGGCUGUGCCGGAAGCCGCCGCACGGAGAGGCCCACGCGCUGCACAGCCGCGGGAAGUCCCAUCGGCGAGGACCCGAAUCCGCGCCCCCAGGAGUGAGCUUCGGAUGAGACCGCGGCCCCGCCCUACCUGGACGCCGGACCCCGGAAACCGCGAGGCCACACAGCCGGGCUUGGAGGGAGCCAGUGAAGCUUGGGGUAUUUGCUCCCACUGUCAAAGCCCCCCCCAAAGGACGGCCACUAGCUGCGCACUGCUGACGGGAGCAGCCACUGGGGAGACAGCCCGAAGGCCCCUCGUGGAGCUGCCAGGGACACUGGCUUCCGUCCCGGGCGCGUGCCCACAGGAGCGGAAGGCGGGGCCUCACACACACCUGCACACACACCCGUACACGCCGUUAUCCCCGUGCACAAAAAGGGGAAGCGACCUGAGUGUCCACUGAUGGACGAAGGGACGAGCAAGACGCGGUCCAUCCGUGUAGGCGAUCAUCCCUAGAAAGGGCGCUUCACCCCUGCUGCACCGCGGGUGAACCCUGAGGGCACUGUGUUCGGUGAAAGAAGCCAUCACAGAAAGACAAAUCCUGUGUGGUUUCACGUCUAUAGGAGGUACCAGAAUCUGGAGUGGUCAGAUUCACAGAAGCAGAGAGUAGAGACGGUGGUGCUGGGGACGGUGCUGGUGGGGGUGGUGAGCGUCUGAUGGGGAGGGAGUUCCAGUUUGGGAAGAUGGAGAAGUUCUGGAGACGGGUAGUGGGGUGGGUGCACAACAACGUGAAUGUACUUGGUGCCCCUGAACCAGGCACUUUCAAACCGUUAGCUGACCUGGCGAAUCGUCUGUGGUGUAGAUUUUACCCGGUGAAAAAGCUGCUGAGUUAGCGGCGGGCAGCAGCCCCGAAACGCAAACCUCGGGGAUUUCCACGUCUGCGACCAGCUCACGGCCAAACACCUGCCCGGCACAACGUAAAAAGGAGAACAUUGACGAUACCGAUUUGACAAUUCAAUGUCGCUUUACUCCGAACGUGAAAUAACAAAUAACAAACAACCAUGGCUAGUUGAGAAAGAGACCACGGAAAAAAGGAAAACGUUUUCCUUUCUAGGUCCUUCAGUGUCCCUUCUACGGGCACUGCAGGGGGGAGCGGGGUGCCUCCC